rnacentral:ncRNA from 1 species
UAAAGGUGACACGGGGGCCGUAUGCCUAAGGGCGUGCGGCUGAGAGGAGGCUCAGCCUCAACCGGACGAACGUUUACCGGGCAAUGCCGGCGCACGGAUGUCACUGGACCCGUGCC